rnacentral:misc_RNA from 1 species
GCAAGCAGCAGACGUGCAUUUCAGUGUCCUCCCUCUUCAGGACUGUGUGCAUCGGCCUUUCCUGUCUCUUUUUGCAUCUCUUGUUUCACUUGUCGCUGACAAGCUGCCGGCGCUCGCUCUGUCUGCCUCCAUUCACCGUCGUCGUUUUCUCAUCUUUCUCUUUGUCCAGCAUCUUACCCGAGCGCAGCCAGCCAAGGCAACACACAACGCCUUGAGAAGAGUCACCAGCACGGACGGAACAGGCGCCUCCUAUUUUGUUUUUGGUUGCCAUCGCGAUCUGCUCCAUGUAAACCAGCUGCAGCGGUGUACGAGUCGUUCGUACGCACUGCUGAUUCACCAUCACUAUCACCACCACCACCUCCGCACAUGGAGCAUUACUUCUCUUGUUUUCCCUUCGUCAUUUUAUUUUCUUGGAAACCACGCGAAAAGAAGACCCUCACUUGAUCUCACUCUCGCACGUACACGCGCGCGAGCCUACGCUCAUCAGCACCGCUUCCACCCCACCCCCUAGACCCUACAUAUGAACUCCAUUUUUGUUCUGAUUCGACCGCAUGUGUGGUCGCCAGCCGUCGUCGAUCGCGUACGCACGUGCCUCGCGAACGUCGGUGCGUGCGUUGAUGCCGAAGACACGGUCUCCGCGAGCACAUUGCUGAGCACGUCGACUGUGGAAAGGUACUUUGGCAGCAUCCACUAUUGGGCCGCGUCGGCGACGGACACCGUUCUACGCCACCCGCUUUCCGCCUCGGAUAGUGCCACGGCGGAAGAAGAGCAGCCAGCGUUUUGCGCGGCCGAAGAGGACCUCAAGUCUCUUUUCUACGAGUUCUAUGGCGAGCUCUGGGACUCUGCCCUCGACGACGGGCGGCUGCGCACAGCGUUUGAUGUUAUGCGAGCAGACAACGUCUCCGCUGCCGAGUUAGCGUCGCGCUGCACAUCGGCUGGCGACGACGCCGUACUUGCGCUGCCGCUGGGCUUGACCGUCACCAGGAUCCUCAGCUCCGACGAAAGAGAGCGCGCUGCGCCGCUGCACUAUGUCGUGAAUGGUGCCUAUCCUGCAGUGCUCGAGGCGUUUCGGCGAGGAAGCGGCGAUGCUAGCGGCGCUGCCGCCCCUUGCUGGUGGUGCGUCGCCUCUUGGCCCUCGCAAGCCGCACCAGAAGUGUCGCAGGAUGUAACGGAGCGAAUGAUUCGGUUGCCGCAUAUGCUGGCAGAGGCGGCCUCUACGCCCCACAGCAUCGAUGUAUUCACGGGGGCACUGGAGGCGCUGGCGUGCCGCGUGUGCUGGAUGAAUGUGCCGCUUUACGACGACCCAUUUGCCCGGUCGCUGGUUCAGCGCGGCCUACCGCUCCCCUGGGUGGCGGUGCUCCUGCGUGGCCCUACGCUGCACGAGCACGGCCACUUUACGGACGUGUUCGACAUGAUGGCUGGCAAAGACGAAGAUGAUGUCGCUGUCGCCCUUGUGGCGCUGUAUGAUGCGCUGUGUUCUCCCGACAGCACAGCGGAGGGCAGAAACUCGGUGGAUGAUGCCGCAGCUCUCUACGACUGGAAAAACGGCUGCGUGGAUAUGGCAGCAGCAUCAUCGGGGCCACUCGCCAAGGACCCGAUCCCUUCUCGCACCUAUGCAGUCGCUCUCGUCCACCCUCACCUGUGGUCCCGCAAAGAGCUCGUCCACCUCCUCGAACAAAAACUGGAGCAACUCGAAGUGUGCGUCGAGGCGGUACGUGAAGUCUCCGCAGAGGAGCUAGAGGCAAAGCUGGAUCUCCACCACGGAGAUGUUGCCCGCUACGCGCUGGACCAGGAGGCGCUCCGGCGAUUCGCGGUCGAUGAGAGCAAAGCCGUCGCUGCCGAAGCGAUGGCUUGUUUCGAGAAAAACUGGGGCGUGCCCUGGGUGGUCGCCAUGCAGGAGGGCCGCAUUUGGAGCGCCUCUCUCGCCGAGGACCUGCUUGGCGCGGAGCUGGCUGCCGCGGUGCUGAAGCACUGUGCCACGAAUACGCACAAAACGCACCAGCUGUCUGCCACGCUGUCAAUCACGGAGCUCUCGCGGCAGGAGCUCAUGACGGAGCUGAACCCAGCGUGUCCGGUGGACGCUGUCUCGUCAGCGAGCGACUCCGCGAGCUUGCAAGGCAAACGGAAAGAGGUGGUAACGCCAAACCGCCCCUUCAGUCUCACCUCAGAGUCUUACUUUGUCGUCAACGCCGCGUACGCCGUUUACCGCCGUGAUGUACUCGGGACCUCCACAAGCGCAUGCGCGUCCGAACGCGCAGGCGGGCUGUGGCAACUGUCGUGGCGAGCCGACGCAGAGCAGCAGAGCAUGGCCGCGCGGUGCGCUGCUAUUUCCGAAGCCCUCUGCGCGGCAGCGUCGGUCGAUCCCGUUUCGCUCGGGGAAGGCCGCAAUGAAACCUUGGGCGCGGUGCACGCUGCGUCUUACGGGGCUGCCGUCACAGAAUCGGUGGCUGCAGCGUACCCUCUUGUACAAGUCUCCGCUGACUGCUUUGGUGCGAUGCGUGCGCGUCAUCUCUGGUGGGGCAUUCCAUACGAAGACGAUGUGGUCAGUCGCGACCUGGUGCGCUCACAGGGGCAAUCGUGGGUGACACUGCACGCGUCGUUCAGUGCGUCACCGGCAGCAGAGACUACCGCGCAUGAGGCGGUGCUCGCGCUUCUGCCGCCGGUCGCCACCACCGCAGAGGCCAUCAAGCUCACACUGGCCACACUCGAAGAAAGCGGCGUGUUCAUCGUCGAGGAGGCGGAUAUUUUUGGCUAUGACGCCUUCGACUACGUCUUCAGCAGCAGCACAGCUUUGGCAGUGGCUCGGCAGCUGGCGCAAAAGACCGGGACUGGCUUGUGGGCAAUGAUGUCGGACGACAUGCAGGUGACCCUCAGGGCUGCCGCUGCAGCGCUAGCAGACGAGACUGCUCAGCCGCUCACUCCUGAAAACCUCUAUGGCGGCGCCAUAGUGUGUGAAGCGCUGCACAUUCCGCUCGGCGCACUGGAGGCGGGGUGGCGCUGCACCGCGCCUAUCUGCGUCGGUGACAAUUUCUGGCUCGGGUACCUUGCAACGUACGAGGUCUGGGUAGUGAACGGUCACGUUCCGCUCUUGGAGCACCGCUACAAUGCAGAGACAGCGCGCGUGCAUCUGCUGCGGGUUCAGUGGGACGCAUCUGCCGUCUCUUGGAACGAAAUGCGGGAAGCGCUCGUCGGGCAAUGCAGCAAUGGCAACGAAGGAGAGACAGGGAGUUGCGACAACUCUGCCGCUGGAUCGCUGACCCGGUUGCUCUCCCGCAUUGCCGAUCGCAGCCCCGCAAAUACGACGCGUCUGGUUGGCGAACCGCUGCACGUAUUCUCCCGCACGGCGUAUCACGCGCUGGUCGAUGUGCUGCGGUGGCCGCGGAUCGGCUCGAGCGGACCGCUGAGCUCUGAGGUGGCGCUAGAAGAUUGGCUCGUGCGGCAGCCGAGCGUGCAGCGACUGCUGCACCGAGGCGCGUCCACGCUCGCCGGUGUGGUUCAGUAUGUGCGCGAAACGCUCAAAACUGUGUUGCAGCCGCUGUUACCGUCACAAGACUCUUCACCAUCCACCCCUUGCUGGACGGCGCGCUUUGCUCAGUCGCAGCGGGCCGUGCAGCUCCAUCACGGCUUCAUCUGGCUGCAUCCCUCUAGCACCACUCCCGCGGUGCGAGAUGCGGUGCCAGCGCUGCUGCUCGCACACCGGGUGCGCGUCCGCGACAGCGGAGCCGUGCCGCUGCAAGUGGCCCUGGAACGGGAGCUCCUGGAUGUCCUGCACGACUCUUUCUUCAAGAACGCAUACAUGCGCAGCGCUGCUGAGGUGCCCAUCACGGACGCCGAAGCGCAAGCCUUCGCGCGUCACUUCAACCUGGGCUGGAUGGAGGCAGUGCAGCUUGGGCUAAUGCUGAACGCGAAGGAGGCGGAAGAGAAGUACGGGACCGUACACGUGAUGAUGUGGUGGGAGAGUCUGGCACCCGAGCAUCAGGCGAAGCUGUCUGACUCGCUCUUCGUGGGUUACAUGGCCGAGGAGGGCCUUUAUGUGAUGAACGCGCCGUACAGCUACCGACGGUCCCGCCUGCACGUUGGCAGCCACGAAGUUGUCUGGUACGCGGUUGAGUGGAAUGCCGCGGACAUGUCGUGGGACGACUACCUGAGAGACGUGAUUGGGGCCGCCGACCCGGUUGCCGCGGCUGCCGGCUCCCUGCGACAGCACUUUGGAGCGCAGUGGACGCGGUACAGCCUGGCAGGGCAGCCUGACGAGAUCGAGUGCGUUCUGCAUGCCUCGAACACUCCCCUUGCUGCACUGGCUGAGCGGUGUCGCUGGCUCGCGCAGUCACCGAGACAGGACCCGUACGGCUGCCUCCUCCUUCAGUCCGGGGUGCACCCGUCGCUACUGUCAACGAUUCUCACCAACCCCAGCGUGUACUGUCGAGACACCGGCGUCAUCACAGAGGCAUUCCACGUCCUGCCGCAGGAGGACGUACACGCGCUGGUGCGGCAGCUGCGCGACUUCCAGUGCACGCGCACAGUCUUGAUGCUGCAGGACAGAACGCGGCUUGUUCCACCAGCUACGGCCCUCGCCACGCCCCCGCCACCGGAUGCUCCACAUCCGAGAGAAGCGGAAGAAGCGGACGACGGGCCGGCAGACCUCACGAUCCUCGCGCAGCUGCGCGCCUAUCGCCACGUGGCGUUCACAGGCGCCGUCGACCCUUUUCUUCAAUGCGGCUUUGCGACGGCGCACCGACAAAAUCCGCCCUCUCCGUCCUCGCCUUUCACAUGCUCUGCGGUCCUCUAUCUGGACCCAACGUGCGUCCCCGUGGCGGAGCGCAUGCCCUCGAGCUACCAUACUCUUCGCAGCUUGCUUGAGCAACAACUGCGCAUCAAUGGUGUUCGUAUUGUGCACGAGCGCGUGGUACAGUGCGCCAGCGCGGCUGAGGCGUCCGUGCUCUACCGCUGCCACCACCACCGCGAAUACCGCUACGGCGUUGCCAUUCCAGCCAUCGAGAGCCUCGCCAGCUCGAUGCAGUGGCAGAUACGCUUCAAGGAACGGUUUGGGGUGUCCUAUCGACACACCUCGGUGUCCCUUUACAACGCAGCAGAGAUGUCACGAGUCAUGCAGGUUACCGAGCGCGAAGUAGCCGCGCUCUGUCGCCGGAGCAAGAGCCGCUAUCCGCACGACACGGCCGUCGUAGGCGAGGGCUGUUUCAUUCAAAGACUGCAGUCCGGCAAGCCGUUUUACGUGAUGAACGGCGACGUCAUGGAAGCAGAGAAGGAGUUUGUAGCGGCGCAGGCCACCGUAGGAGUGCGAGUGUGGUUGCUCACUUGGGACUCUGCGCGCGCGGACAUGGGGUACACGAAGCUGCAGCACCUCAUUGCAGAGCUACAGGCACCCACUGGUGUACUGCGGCAGUGGUGGGCAUCAGAGGACGGGGAAGGUGAUCUUAGCCGUGCGUCCGGGCUUUCCACGCGGGGCCACGACUCCCCUUUCCUGCAUGUCUCGGAGAGCGCCGUGGCGGCGGUGCGGCAGCGGCAGCUGUGGUGGCGGCUCCCGGUGUGGUCUGAUCCGACGGUAGCGGCGUGGGUGAACGUCGCGGCGGGCAAUGAAACGGCGAGAAGCAGCACCGACGUCUCGACCUUGGAUCCUCGCACUGUGGCGUGGGCGCUGCAGGAUCCGCUCAUCUCCGUCGCCGCUCGCGAUGACGACGGGCCUGCGUAUCUGUGGGACACCGUAGUCGGCAUGGACGCGCGGCACGCCUGCGCCCGCAUCCGGUGCUGCUGGGCGGCCGCCGUUGCAGAUGAGUGCAACGACGAAACCACUCGCGAUACUGCGGUGCUGACUCUGGCGCCGCAGGUUGCAACAAACAGUGCCGUUCAUCACCUUGUGCGCUCUGUGCUCCUCGACAACGGCCUCCGCAUAGACGCCCACGGCUUCAUCGCUGAUCACGGCGAAGACAUAGCGACGCUGAAGCGCACCGUGCAAUACCUGUACCCUGAGGACUGGAGCUACGCUAUCGAAGAGCCGCAGGAGAUUCAGCUGAACGCCGACGAGGAGGAGCGCGCCGCGCGGACGUUCGGCACGUCAUGGAAGGCGCUGCUUGACGGCGGCCGGCUGUUGCCGGCCUCCCGCGCUACCAAGAGACUAGGCGGCAUGACGGCGCCGCAGCUUCAGCUUUUCGUAAAGACGGCGAAGAAUUCGCUGUGGGUGCGGCCGCACCUGCACGUCGCGGAGCUGGAAGAGUACGGCGUCUACGUGAUCAACGCCCACGUUCCGUACCUCGCUCACACCAUCGCCGGCGCCAUCACCGAGUAUCCGCUGCCGUACUACCUGGUGUCGUGGAGCCCCAGUCGGUGGAGCUGGAAGGAGUGUCUCGCACAGGUGUUUGGCUGUGCGGAGCCCACGCUGGCUGCGCCUGGGAGUAUUCGCGGUCGCCUCUACGCGUCGUGGUCGUCUUUCGGACUGCACGCAGCACCGGAGAUGGCCGAGGGCGGCGGCGGUGGUGUGUGCGUGAGCGAGGGGCCCCUGCAGAGUCUGCUGGGUCGCCUGCACUUGCAGUGGCCUCCGCUGGAUUAUUUCGACAGCGACCCUAUCGGUAGCGUGGUGCUUCGGCAGCCAGAGCCAUCAGGCGCCACGGCGUUGCUGCGCGCAUGGCUGCGCAACCCGGUUGCCAUGUGCGACGGCAUCGGGACCGGUGUGCUUUCGCAUCUCGCCUGCUGGGACACUCGAGAGGUGCUACAUCUCGUGGAGACCGUUACGGUGACACGCAAAAAGGCAUCCGCGUCUGAAACGCUGCUGCUCCCCUCUGCCCUUGCCAAGGCACGGAACGAGGUGCACGAAGCCGAAGCGCGCCGCGCUGCAGAAGCCGCGCGGGAGGCAGCGUUUCAGCAGCGCUACGACCUCCCCCUCCUGAACACCUUUUCAGCAGCAGCAGCAGCAGCGCCGCCUGGUGUCCAAACCUCCGACAACACAGCGGAGAGCGCUCUGCUGCACCGCAACGUCAGCACGCUGCUUUUCUUCAGUCACCAACUGGACACAGCUCAGCGCGCGCUGCUGCGCCAGCACCUGCAGCAGCACGGUGUGGCCGUCACAGCAGCUGCCAAGCAUGAAGAAGAGGAGCAAGAGUGCACGGUGGCCCUCCUCGACCGACUGUACGCCACGGAGGCUUUCUUUGCGGAUUGUCCAAACCUCGCAGCGGUGCUUUCAGAGAGCGGUGAAGUCGCUGUCGAGGAUCAGGCCCGCUUCAGCGCCGUCUUUGGCGAUGAAGUGCCGUGGCCAGAGCUCCUUGCGCGCUCGGCGCUCUCACAGGAGGCGGUGCAUGACGCGGAUACCUCCUUGGUGGGCUCGGCGAGCGAGGACCUGCACCAGCGCAGGCACAUCUACAGCGCUGCCGAUGCCAUGAAGAUCUGGCAUCUCACACCCCACGAGCUGUGGGCUGAGAUGCGGCAAGGCGUGUCGAUGCGGCUGUCUGAGGGGUUGGAGGUGACACGUCUCUGCCGCAUGACGCCCGGCUGCGCAAGUGAUACAAAUGAACGCGCCGUGGCGACAGACCCAGGAGCACCGUGGAAGGGGCACUACGUAGUAAACGGCCUCUACGCCGCAGUUCGUGACUCGCUGCAGGCGCCGGCAGCAACGCGUGACACGAGCGGAGCAUCCCAUGCCCCGGCGCCGCCGUCUCUGACGAAGUGGAACGUUACCUGGGACGCGCAGUCGCUCUCCUGGCACGAUCUCUGCCAGUGCGUGAUUGGCUACGCCGACUGCACUCAGGCUGCCCCGUCGUCUUUCAACGCCUUACUCGCCGAAUCGAUUGUGGACGCGAGAGCGACGCAUGAAGAGGACAAGGACGAGGCGCCGUCACCGCUGUCGUGCGUUGGCGUGAUGGCGGCAUCAGGGCCGUUGGCCGCGUUCGCUGUCCGCCGCUAUUGGUGCUGGAACGCGAGCCAUCACGACAUGUACCUGCCCGACCCGUUUCUGCGUGCCGUGGGUGUCGCCGGUAUGGACCACGACGUUGUUCUAAAGGAGGGGUGGCUUCUCAACCCCGUCAUGGCAGUGGCGCCGAGCUUGAGGCACCUGCGUGUCUUUGACUGGACGCGAGGCUGCGACACGCCGGCGGUACUCGAUUGGAUGCACAGUCGCGAGCAGAUGCUCGACCACACCCCUAUAGAGACCACCGAGGCGAGGGGAGCGUCACCUGCACCAGCGGAGGCGCCUCACGAUUCGGAAGAGAGUGCGAGCAUCGUCGCUGUGGCGCAAACAGUCGCCGCAGAGCUGCGCCCGCCAUCCCCUCCGCCGCGAAUGAAAUCCCAGUUGCAGAUGGCGUGGGUGUAUGAUGCAUUGCUACACGCCAGCACACAUGCGGAUUACAAGCUGCUGUGGCAACACUACCGCUCCCUGGGCGCUCCCGCAGCAGCAGCAGCAGCAGCAGCAGCAGGGGAAGCGGCCUCGGCGCACGAGAUGAGCAACACCAUUUCUUUUGCUCUCUUCUACCGCGACUUUAAGUAUCUCGAUAACUUUGGCGUCCCGUGCAUGAGCCAUGAGUUGAAGAAGCUGUUCAUUGACAUUGAGACGCAGAGACGUGGGCGCAUGACCUACGAAGAGUUCGCUCACGCCAUCGCCCUCUACCACUCACUGUAGCUAUUCCACAACGGCACCACACGCUGAUCGCAUGGGGGUUAGAGGCGCCCAACUCCCUUUCCGUCCUACAAUCUGUCCUUGAUGUAAUGGGAUGACGUUUACGUUUCUUUGCAAGGGAGAGACGCGCCUGCUUCGCGGAAGUACUCGCACAUGUGCUCAUGCCAUAUACUCUUUUCCCCCAUCGCCGCUCUCUGUAUCGCUCGCUGUUGCUCCUUCGCGUGGUUCGCUCCUAGUACUUCUCGUUUUACUGCACGCUGCACCUCUGAGCAAUAUCACCCCCUUCCCUACUCUCUUCUUCACCUUAAUAGACUCGCACGCUCGCUCAUCUACCUUUCACUGAUCGAUGUACCAUAGGGAGGCGUGUUUUGUUAUGUGCUUCUGUUUUAUCG